rnacentral:rRNA from 1 species
UACGUAGGGAGCAAGCGUUGUCCGGAAUCAUUGGGCGUAAAGCGCGCGUAGGUGGUCCCGUAAGUCCGCUGUGAAAGUCAAAGGCUCAACCUUUGAAAGCCGGUGGAUACUGUGGGACUAGAGUACGGAAGAGGCGAGUGGAAUUCCUGGUGUAGCGGUGGAAUGCGCAGAUAUCAGGAGGAACACCAAUAGCGAAGGCAGCUCGCUGGGACGUUACUGACACUGAGGCGACGAAAGCGUGGGGAGCGAACAGG